rnacentral:rRNA from 1 species
CAGCAGCCCGAGUGGUGGUCGUUUUUAUUGGGCCUAAAGCGUCCGUAGCCGGUCUAGUAAAUCCUUGGAUAAAUCGUACAGCUUAACUGUACGGCUCCCGGGGAGACUGCUAGACUUGGGACUGGGAGAGGUCGGAGGUACUCCAGGGGUAGGGGUGAAAUCUUGUAAUCCUUGGGGGACCACCGGUGGCGAAAGCGUCCGACCAGAACGGGUCCGACGGUAAGGGACGAAGCCCUGGGGCGCGAACCGGAUUAGAUACCCGAGUAGUCC